GACGAACGCUGGCGGCGUGCUUAACACAUGCAAGUCGAGCGGAGCGGCGAACGGGUGAGUAACGCGUGAGUAACUGCCCCCCUCUCUGGGAUAAAAGUUGGAAACGGCUGCCAAUACCGGAGAGCGGGGGAUGACUCGCGUCCUAUCAGCUUGGUGGUGGGGUAGUGGCCUACCAAGGCGACGACGGGUAGCCGGCCUGAGAGGGCGACCGGCCACAUUGGGCUGAGAUACGGCCCAAACUCCUACGGGAGGCAGCAGUGGGGAAUAUUGCACAAUGGGGGAAACCCUGAUGCAGCAACGCGCGUGAGUGAAGAAGGUUUUCGGAUCGUAAAGCUCUGUUGUAAGAGAAGGAGUAACUGCUCCAGUCUUGACGGUAUCUUACCAGAAAGCCACGGCUAACUACGUGCCAGCCGCCGCGGUAAUAC
rnacentral:rRNA from 1 species